UUAUACAUGCAGUCGAGCGAUCGAUGGGAGCUUGCUCCCUGAGAUUAGCGGCGGACGGGUGAGUAACACGUGGGCAACCUGCCUAUAAGACUGGGAUAACUUCGGGAAACCGGAGCUAAUACCGGAUACGUUCUUUUCUCGCAUGAGAGAAGAUGGAAAGACGGUUUACGCUGUCACUUAUAGAUGGGCCCGCGGCGCAUUAGCUAGUUGGUGAGGUAAUGGCUCACCAAGGCGACGAUGCGUAGCCGACCUGAGAGGGUGAUCGGCCACACUGGGACUGAGACACGGCCCAGACUCCUACGGGAGGCAGCAGUAGGGAAUCUUCCGCAAUGGACGAAAGUCUGACGGAGCAACGCCGCGUGAACGAAGAAGGCCUUCGGGUCGUAAAGUUCUGUUGUUAGGGAAGAACAAGUACCAGAGUAACUGCUGGUACCUUGACGGUACCUAACCAGAAAGCCACGGCUAACUACGUGCCAGCAGCCGCGGUAAUACGUAGGUGGCAAGCGUUGUCCGGAAUUAUUGGGCGUAAAGCGCGCGCAGGUGGUUCCUUAAGUCUGAUGUGAAAGCCCACGGCUCAACCGUGGAGGGUCAUUGGAAACUGGGGAACUUGAGUGCAGAAGAGGAAAGUGGAAUUCCAAGUGUAGCGGUGAAAUGCGUAGA
rnacentral:rRNA from 1 species